AUUGAACGCUGGCGGCAUGCCUUACACAUGCAAGUCGAACGGCAGCACGGGAGCAAUCCUGGUGGCGAGUGGCGAACGGGUGAGUAAUAUAUCGGAACGUGCCCAGUCGUGGGGGAUAACGUAGCGAAAGCUACGCUAAUACCGCAUACGAUCUAUGGAUGAAAGCGGGGGAUCGCAAGACCUCGCGCGAUUGGAGCGGCCGAUAUCAGAUUAGGUAGUUGGUGAGGUAAAGGCUCGCCAAGCCGACGAUCUGUAGCUGGUCUGAGAGGACGACCAGCCACACUGGGACUGAGACACGGCCCAGACUCCUACGGGAGGCAGCAGUGGGGAAUUUUGGACAAUGGGCGCAAGCCUGAUCCAGCAAUGCCGCGUGCAGGAUGAAGGCCUUCGGUGUAACUGCUUUG
rnacentral:rRNA from 1 species